rnacentral:rRNA from 1 species
UACGAAGGGGCUAGCGUUGCUCGGAAUCACUGGGCGUAAAGGGUGCGUAGGCGGGUUUUAAGUCAGGGUGAAAUCCUGGAGCUCAACUCCAGAACUGCCUUUGAUACUGAAGAUCUUGAGUUCGGGAGAGGUGAGUGGAACUGCGAGUGUAGAGGUGAAAUUCGUAGAUAUUCGCAAGAACACCAGUGGCGAAGGCGGCUCACUGGCCCGAUACUGACGCUGAGGCACGAAAGCGUGGGGAGCAAACAGGG